rnacentral:lncRNA from 1 species
CCAUGAUCUGUUGAAUUUGCUCAGCUCCCUGCUCAACAGCAGGAAAUCAGUUUGAAUUAUUUAAAAACCUCAUUGUGGCUGGGAGCGGUGGCUCAUGCCUGUAAUCCCAGCAAUUUGGGAAGCCAAGGUGGGCAGAUUGCUUGUUGUCAGGGGUUUGAGACCAGCCCAGCAAACAGCCUUUCCUAACCACAGAUCUCCUAAUAGAGGAAAGCACUCAUCAAUUACAAAAAUAUGUCCUCAAUCUAGGGCAGGUGCAAGGCACUCUGUGAGUAUGGAAACUAGAGUCCUCCCCUCCCACAUGGGAGGAAAAUUCAGUUUCGGGUCAGCUAGGGAUUUAGUCUUAGUAAAGACGUGGGAGGAAGUUCUCCAGCUGACCAGCUUUCCCCAACGUGGAAAGGACCACAGCAGGGACACCUGAGCUCCUCAACAGACGUUCAACGCCAAGGGAUGCACAGUUCUGGGAGACGAUCUCUGAUGAACACGCCAUCGACUCCACCGGCACCUAUCAAGGGGACAUCCAUGGGCAGCUGGAGCGCAUCGACGUGUACUACAACGAGGCCUGCGGUGAGAGCCCCGACCUUCCCCACCGCCCUCCUGGGAACGCGGCCCUCCCCUCGCUCAUGUCCUCCCGCCCCUCUCGGGUGGCAGGUACGUGCCCCGCGCUGUGCUGGUGGAUCUGGAGCCGGGCACCCUGGACUCUGUGCGCUCGGGGCCCUUCGGGCAGAUCUUCAGGCCGGACAACUUCAUCUUUGGUCAGAGUGGGGCCGGAAACAACUGGGCCAGGGGGCACUACACAGAAGGCGCGGAGCUGGUGGACUCGGUGCUGGAUGUUGUGAGGAAGGAGGCUGAGAGCUGUGACUGCCUGCAGGGUUUCCAGCUGACCCACUCCCUGG